AUGCAAUUUCGAACUAUUCCUCAAAAGAAGUUGUACGUCAUUGUAAUGAUACUGGUUUUCCUCCCUUCAGCUGAAUGUUUCUUUCCACCUUCCCCCUCUCUCUCCUACUUGCCUCAUCUAAUCUGUGUUCUUCCCUUGUACUCCGGUGUGAGGCAUUUUGUUGGUUUGGAUGUGGAGUUGGGAUUAGGGGUGGAUGUGGGCUCCAUUUCUCUUCCAGCAAGGCUUUGCCACGAACUGCUUUACGCCACUGUUUUUCUGGUUGUUUUUGUUUUAUUUUUUUUUAAUAAAGAAGAAAACAAACAAACCAACCAACCUGACACUGUUCCUGUGUGUUUUUCAUCGCGUUGUGGGGAAGGAAGAAAGAAAGAAAGAAAGGUGCUGGUGGGGAAACGGGCGUCUGAGGACGCGCACGUGGUGGCAGCAGCAGCGUCCGAGGACCCCUUGGGGGUUGCCGUCUGCUCUUCCUCGGCGGUGGGACCCAAACCCGGUCUGUUUCACGACUGGGUUUGUAGGAGCGUGUGCUAUACUUCUCUAGCGCCUCUGAGGGGCGCUGGGCACGGGGCUCAGGCCCUUCGCAAAGCCCAAAGCCCCGCUUCGGUUCGGGGCACGGCGCGGCCCGGCCGUGCGGGACCGAGACCCGCGGCCCCUCUGUCCGCGGCCCGCGCUGGGGACAGGGGCGGCCGGGCACGGUGCCCCGGUUUAAAACAGAGGAAACGAGGGCUCGGCGGGAGGCGGGCGCGCCGGCUGCCGGGCAGCUGCAGAUUUCGUCGGGUUUGGCGGCGCUGCAGAGCCCCGGCGCAUCCAGCCCCUCCCCGGGCCCGCGGGGCGCGGCGGAGCGGUGCCGAGCCACGCGUGCGGCGGCGGGCGGGCUACCUGCGGCGGCGGCGCCCAGAGCAGGCCCCGGGGCGGCCGCAGGGGCGAGGCAGGGGCGAGCAACCGGCGCGGCGGCGACGAGAGUCAAGACGCAGCAGCAGAAGGGCUCCGCAGCGGUCCCAUGGUGUAAUGGUUCCGCAGGGGAGCCCCAGGUUUUGGGCCUUGUCUGACGUUGAACAGCUGAGGACCUCCAGUCCCACAGCCUCCUGCGGGCAAGCGUCAAGCGUGACCAGCAGUGACCCGGCAGCCAGGAAAGCACUGCAGCUCCGCAUGGGUUCAGGAGCAAUUUCCCUGUAUGUGCAGCAUUUAAAGUAA
rnacentral:lncRNA from 1 species